AAAUAGAACUUUGCAGAGAGAGUUAAGAGGGCGUGAAACCGUUAAUUGGCAAACGAAUCGGAGCCACGAAGUCGUUUCGCUGGUUUAGUUGGCCUGAGUUCAGCUAGCCUCCCCUCACCGGGAGGCUAGUGUAUUCUCGUGACUAACCAUCUGUAAGCGUACACUGCAACCAGUUAGACAAUUGACAAUGGGCACAGUUGGCUGCUCGGGUUAGUAGUAGCGCUGCGAGUCUCGUACUCGUUGGUGUUGCUGGGCUCGUGGCAAGUGAACUAUCGUCAAAUACUGACUGGCACAAUGAAAAUCGCUCCACCAUGGAUGCGUAACACAGAAUGCAGCAUACUGCAUGUCUGGCUACACAAGUGACCGUGCGCUCCCAAGUUCGGCAUCUUCGAAUUUGGACCUGCUUGCUACCAAUGGGGCAACCCUUGGUGCUUGUACGGCUUCCAUCUAAUCAGCUGUCGACUUGAGCGUACGUAGUUUGCCUGUGCUACGUUCAGCCAGGCAUGUAUGCGUGUUUGCCAUUUUGAAUUGGCAGUGAGUAGGUCGGCUUUCCGAACGACCCGUCUUGAAACACGGACCAAGGAGUCUAAUUAGGCAUCAAGUCGAUCGGUCUUGACUAGGCCAGACUGGCGAGCCUUCGCCAACUGAAGGCGCAGAGACAUGUGAUCGCGGGGCUAUACCAGCCCCAGCGCGCAACAUGUGCCUGUUCGUAUAGCAAUGUAGCAAUAAUUGCUGGCGGAGCAAAGAGAUGCCUGAUUGGUACCCGAAAGAUGGUGAGCCUGGGCAGGUUGAAGCCAGAGGAAACUCUGGUGGAGGACCGUAGCGAUUCUGACGUGCAAAUCGAUCGUCAGACCUGGGUAUAGGGGCGAAAGACUAAUCGAACCAUC
rnacentral:rRNA from 1 species